rnacentral:rRNA from 1 species
AUUGAACGCUGGCGGCAGGCCUAACACAUGCAAGUCGAACGGUAGCACAGAGAGCUUGCUCUCGGGUGACGAGUGGCGGACGGGUGAGUAACGUCUGGGAAACUGCCCGAUGGAGGGGGAUAACUACUGGAAACGGUAGCUAAUACCGCAUAACGUCGCAAGACCAAAGUGGGGGACCUUCGGGCCUCACACCAUCGGAUGUGCCCAGAUGGGAUUAGCUAGUAGGUGGGGUAAUGGAUCACCUAGGCGACGAUCCCUAGCUGGUCUGAGAGGAUGACCAGCCACACUGGAACUGAGACACGGUCCAGACUCCUACGGGAGGCAGCAGUGGGGAAUAUUGCACAAUGGGCGCAAGCCUGAUGCAGCCAUGCCGCGUGUACGAAGAAGGCCUUCGGGUUGUAAAGUACUUUCAGCGGGGAGGAAGGCGGUGAAGUUAAUAGCUUAACCGAUUGACGUUACCCGCAGAAGAAGCACCGGCUAACUCCGUGCCAGCCGCCGCCGUAA